rnacentral:rRNA from 1 species
AUGUGGCCCACGGGUGAAAGAUAUUUAUUGCCAAAAGAUGAGCUCGCGUCUGCAUUAGCUAGUAGGUGAGGUAAUGGCUCACCUAGGCGACGAUCAGUAACUGGUCUGAGAGGAUGACCAGUCACACUGGGACUGAGACACGGCCCAGACUCCUACGGGAGGCAGCAGUGGGGAAGUUUUUCCGCAAUGGGCGAAAGCCUGACGGAGCAAUACCGCGUGAGGGAGGAAGGCUUUUGGGUUGUAAACCUCUUUUAUUAGGGAAGAAGAUCUGACGGUACCUAAUGAAUCAGCAUCGGCUAUAACUUCGUGCCAGCAGCCGCGGUAUUAUACGAGGGAUUGCAAGCGUUAUCCGGAAUUAUUGGGCGUAAAGCGUCCGCAGGUGGUUUUACAAGUCUGCUGUCAAAGCGUGGAGCUUAACUCCAUAACGGCGGUGGAAACUGUAAGACUAGAGGUCAACCAGUAGGGGUCACGGGAAUUCCCAGUGUAGCGGUGAAAUGCGUAGAUAUUGGGAAGAACACCAGCGGCGAAAGCGCGUGACUGGGCUG